GCUGGGCACGGUGGUGCGUGCCUGUAAUCCCAGCUACUCAGGAGGCUGAGGCAGGAGAAUUGCCUGAACCCAGGGGGCAUGGGUUGCGGUGAGCCGAGAUUGCGCCAUUGCACUCCAGCCUGGGUAACAAGAGCAAAACUCCGUCUCAA
ensembl:misc_RNA Metazoa_SRP Metazoan signal recognition particle RNA